GACGAAGCUCUGAGGUCUUGCUGCUCCUCAUCCAUCACCUAUGCCCCUAGACUGUGGGGCAGAACAUCUGUGAUUGGCACUUGGAUUGCCUGUGUCCCCAGAGCUGCUUGUGCUGGUAGCAUGAUCCCCAUGUGGCCAUGUUGAGGUGCUGCAUGAUGAAAGGCCUCAGCACAGGUAGAAGGAACACAAGGAAGACAACAGGAGCCUUCCACUUGCACAUGAUUCGAAACUCUCCGCACACUCUGGUCAUAGGUGACACUAUAAAAUCAGUCAUAUCCUUGGGUGUGUAAAUAACCCAUCUCCUGACCUGGCCUUAAGAAAAACAGAUCUGAGAAUGCUUUUGUUCAAUGAGCAGAUUGUUUUGUAAUUGAUAUUUUGAGGAUGCACUGACUUUAUCCCUGUCACAUGCUGUAAGUUGGUGACACAAAUGCAGUACUCCUUAAAUUCCCAAGCAAAACAAUAAAACCUGGGCAUCUGGGACAGUAGUAGAGAUAUUUCACCAAAAGCAAAGAAGAAAAGAAUCCCUAUAGGCAAUGACUCACACGCAAGCGGCCGGCGCACAGGAGGACUAGAAGUGCCCUGUGAGAGCGAGUGUGUCCUGCAGGUUUCACACGUACAAACCCCUUGUUCAGUGAAGCCACCGCAUCCUCUCCAGCACCAUACUGGGCCUGUCAAGAGUGUGCUCCAUCUAUGCCAGGCUCCGUGGCACACAUCCUAGCAACUCUGGAGGCUGAGGCAGGAGGAUAGCAAGUUUGAGGCCAGACUGUCUCAAAAUAAAAAAGCUGGGGUGUGGCUGCAAGGUAGAGCACCUUGGGCUCAGUCCCCAUUGCCACAAAAAUAAGUACAUAAUGAAUAUCAGUCUGUGCCUUGCUUUGUCCAUCCUUAAGUUUCUUUCUGCAAUGUUGUCUAGGACCCACAGGGCCUGAGUCAAGGUGCACCUCCCUUUAGGCAUCCUGGAGACCCUGUCCUAGGAGACACCCCAGUGGUGGAUUAAUAGGAAGCUCAGGCACUCCUGCUCUCUGGCUGGGUUAGUACUUUGAGAGCGGGUUGUUAGGGUGGACAGCCCGUGCCUCUGUCCUCUCUGCACACAGCCAGCUCCCCUUCUGUUUCUCCCUGUGUGGUGAUGGGGCCCGGGUUCUGUCUCCAGGACACCACACCCUAAAGCUUGGACCCUCCAGCAACCAGAAUCACAAGCCCACUAAAUGCCUUCUCGAAAUGCCCAGUCUCGGAUGUUUAGUUACAGCAACCAGAUGGACUAACGCAGGACCUGCCCCUUUUGCUACCCACCCUGAGCACACCCUGACACCCUCAGGGUCUCAACUGGAAGCACAAGCUCUCACAGAUGGGCAGAUGAUGGCAGAUCUUUUCACCCACUUAAAACAGUGGCUUCUUGUUGCCCUCAGAGAAGUCCCAACAGCCCCCUCUUCCCAGGCCUCUGAGCUCCCGUGGUCUGUGUUCUUCCCGUCCUGCAGGCCCACCUGAGGGCUCUGGCUGACCAUCCAGCUGCACUCCUGCUGGGCUGCUGCGUCCUCAGCCUGGAUGCCUCUCCCUCCACAGUGGACCCCACCUCACUGACCAGCUCGCAGGGCUCAGCUCUCCGUGACCCGGGGCCCCUCAGCAGCAUCAUGACCACAGAGGUCCUGCCCAGGAGUAGCCAGCCUCUGUGGUCACGGCACCUCUGUCAGGUGCCCAGGUGCAACGCGCCUCCUUCAGGUGCUGCCCACACACCUCAUGCUGUGGCCUGGGCACCUGCAGACUGCCGGCCCCCGGGGGCCUGGGGAGACCAAGGGGCUGCCUUAACCACCGGGCGAGACCGUGCAGUGGUUGCUGUGAAGGUACUUGGCAUCCUUGAAGGCCAUUUUUGUUUGCAGAAAAGACUAUCAAACACAUAUUUGUUUAAAAUAAUAAUGUUCCAUUUUUUUUUUAAUUUACAAAGUCGUAAACCUAGUUCUUGCACAGUUUUUAAGAACAGUUUGCAAAAUAUCAUUUCUAUCUAGCAGCCUGGCAAUCUGACAACGUUAAGUGUCUGACAGUCACUUUCACAGGCCCUCGUUCGGCGCUGGCUGUGUUCUCAAGCAGCUGACAAGCUCACGGUAGAGGGGGAUCUGUUGGAAGCCCUGGGACCACAGGGGCACUUGGGAAGACCAAGUCCAGUGCAGGUGAAGUUGACUCUGACUCCAUUUCUCAGCUCGGUUUAAACUGGAGUCACGAGUCUGCACUCCUACAAGCCAAAUCCUCCGCAGCAUUCAUAUAUGCCAAUUGGUUUUUGUUCCUGUUGUUGUUUGUUAGUUUUGAUGCUGGAGGCUGAACCCAGGGUUGCUUCUACCACUGAGCUGCCCCCACAGUCCUUUCAUUUUAUUUGGAGACAGGGCCUCACUAAGUUGGCCUUAAACUUGUGAUCCUCCUGCCUCAGCCUGAGUCCUGGGUACAGGAGUGUGCCACUGCAUCUGCAUACAGAGCCUUUUUAAAGGACUCCAUUCACAACUGGGGUUGUGGCAGAUGACUUUGCCUUGCUGGCGGCCACACUUGAGAAGUGGCGGAUGUACAAGGGAUCUGCUGCAGCAUUGUUCACCACAACUAGGGGCCAGAUGCCCAGCUGGGAGCCAGUCAGACCUGGGGCGUUCUUCUACAGGGCACACACAGCUCCUGCAUCAUGGAUUUUGCAUCUGAGGAUUCAACCAACUGCAAAUCAAAAUAUUUUUUAGGUGCUGGGGCCGUGGCUCAGUGGUAGCAUACUUGCCUGGCAUGUGUGAAGCAUUGGGUUCGCUUCUCAGCACUAUAUAUAAAUAAAUAAAGGUCUAU
rnacentral:lncRNA from 1 species